rnacentral:rRNA from 1 species
UACGUAGGGUGCGAGCGUUGUCCGGAAUUACUGGGCGUAAAGAGCUCGUAGGUGGUUUGUCGCGUUGUUCGUGAAAUCUCACGGCUUAACUGUGAGCGUGCGGGCGAUACGGGCAGACUAGAGUACUGCAGGGGAGACUGGAAUUCCUGGUGUAGCGGUGGAAUGCGCAGAUAUCAGGAGGAACACCGGUGGCGAAGGCGGGUCUCUGGGCCGUAACUGACGCUGAGGAGCGAAAGCAUGGGGAGCGAACAGG